rnacentral:rRNA from 1 species
UACGGGGGGGGCAAGCGUUGUUCGGAAUUACUGGGCGUAAAGGGCUCGUAGGCGGCCGACUAAGUCAGACGUGAAAUCCCUCGGCUUAACCGGGGAACUGCGUCUGAUACUGGACGGCUUGAGUUCGGGAGAGGGAUGCGGAAUUCCAGGUGUAGCGGUGAAAUGCGUAGAUAUCUGGAGGAACACCGGUGGCGAAGGCGGCGUUCUGGACUGCAACUGACACUGAGGAACGAAAGCCAGGGGAGCAAACGGG